rnacentral:rRNA from 2 species
AGGGAAACCGAGUCUUAACUGGGCGUUAAGUUGCAGGGUAUAGACCCGAAACCCGGUGAUCUAGCCAUGGGCAGGUUGAAGGUUGGGUAACACUAACUGGAGGACCGAACCGACUAAUGUUGAAAAAUUAGCGGAUGACUUGUGGCUGGGGGUGAAAGGCCAAUCAAACCGGGAGAUAGCUGGUUCUCCCCGAAAGCUAUUUAGGUAGCGCCUCGUGAACUCAUCUUCGGGGGUAGAGCACUGUUUCGGCUAGGGGGUCAUCCCGACUUACCAACCCGAUGCAAACUGCGAAUACCGAAGAAUGUUAUCACGGGAGACACACGGCGGGUGCUAACGUCCGUCGUGAAGAGGGAAACAACCCAGACCGCCAGCUAAGGUCCCAAAGUCACAGUUAAGUGGGAAACGAUGUGGGAAGGCUCAGACAGCCAGGAUGUUGGCUUAGAAGCAGCCAUCAUUUAAAGAAAGCGUAAUAGCUCACUGGUCGAGUCGGCCUGCGCGGAAGAUGUAACGGGGCUAAACUGUGCACCGAAGCUGCGGCAGCGACGCUUAUGCGUUGUUGGGUAGGGGAGCGUUCUGUAAGCCUGCGAAGGUGUCCUGUGAGGGAUGCUGGAGGUAUCAGAAGUGCGAAUGCUGACAUAAGUAACGAUAAUGCGGGUGAAAAGCCCGCUCGCCGGAAGACCAAGGGUUCCUGUCCAACGUUAAUCGGGGCAGGGUGAGUCGACCCCUAAGGCGAGGCCGAAAGGCGUAGUCGAUGGGAAACGGGUUAAUAUUCCCGUACUUGGUGUUACUGCGAAGGGGGGACGGAGAAGGCUAUGUUGGCCGGGCGACGGUUGUCCCGGUUUAAGCGUGUAGGCUGGUUUUCCA